GUUACUGUCAGAGUCGGACGGUGCCCCGACCGGUCGACCUGUGUGUGUGUUUGUUCUCCUCUCUCUCGCUCUGCUUUUUCUCCGGCUCCGCUGCGAUUGUCACGCGGUCGCGUAGCAACGGAAGACCUCAGACCCGGAAGUGCUGCCGCUCUGAGCUGCCUCACCUGCGACCGAUUUGUCGCCAGCUACUGCCAAUUAUCCACCAUCGUUGGCAGGGCUGUUUAACGGUGUGGCUGAGUGACAGACAGCGCUGGAGUAUUGCACCAAGCCUGGAAGUGAACGAGACAGAAGGGGAGACUUCACUGAUUCUCUGGAGUUUUGUGGACACACGAGGGGAGACGGGGAGAGGAGCACUGAAGGGACUUGCACUGUGGAUAACUGUGGAUUGGUUUUGGCUUCACUGUAAAUAAAGACACUGUUCAACUUAAACGAGAGGUCGGGUUUCUGAAUCCAGUGAAGGUACGUCCACUGAGGAUCUGCGCCUCACGCUCCGCAUAAGAGAGGUGGAGACCCGAAACAGGCAGCUGGAGGUGCAGGCUAUGCAUCUCCGUAUCAGGGCUCUUGAGCUUGAAAAGGGCUCAGCUGGUGUUUCCCCGACGUCAUCAAGCACAAGUGCUUCUUCUUCUGCCAGCUUUGACAUAAUGUGCAGGUGCUCCUCCGUGGUUGGUGCAUCCAGGGUGGAUGGCUCGCACCGAUUGGCUGACGACCGGGAGGCAGCGGAUGAGAAGAGACCACCAGGGACUGCCAUUCAUUCAUCCUCGGCCCAACCCAACCGGCAGACCGUUCACUGUGUCACUGUUACUAUGUUGGUUAAUGUAAGAGCAUGUAGGGGUGGACCGCCUUUUUGUUUGAUCAGUUUUCUCCUGUUUCUGUUAGGUAGGGAGGAAAGUGAUUGUCGUUUGGUUUAGUUCUUUUGAGUAGGUAAGUUGUGUUUAUUCCUGAGAUAGGCUAUCUUUUGUUUGUUGUUUUGGCCUUGGGUUCACCCUGAAGUUAUGAUAUGCUCCCUUCCUUUGUUUAACUGCACUCAUUGUAAAUAAAUCACUGUCACAAAAUAUUAAGUGUGUGACGUGCUGCUUGGGGUUGGACGGGGAUGGAUCACCCUUUAUGUUGUGGUCUGGCCGCGCCUAGACGGGCCAUAACACUGAAUCUUUGAGAUGAUUAAACUUAAUCUAAGUCUGGUGUGACUUUUGAGAACAUAAGGGUAAUGGUGUUACUUUGUCUCUGUUAGAGCUCCCCCUGCUGGUCAGGGUGGCAGCAAAAAAAACAUUUUUUGCAAGAGCUUUGUAAACACUGGCAAUCCCACGUCUCCCAAACUGCCUACCACCUCAUUUAUUUCAAGCAUCGGCUUAUUAAUUAUCUCUCUGUUAGUCUCUACAUCCUUCCUAUAUCCGUUAUGUGACAUUUGGAAAUUAUCCUACAGACAAUCGCACCAGAUCUCUUGUUUUUUCUCUUUUCUUUUUGAAAUUCAGCAUAUUCAUGCAGGAUAAGACCAACACUA